rnacentral:rRNA from 1 species
GACGAACGCUGGCGGCGUGCCUAAUACAUGCAAGUGGAACGCUGAAGGAGGAGCUUACUUCUCUGGAUGAGUUGCGAACGGGUGAGUAACGCGUAGGUAACCUGCCUGGUAGCGGGGGAUAACUAUUGGAAACGAUAGCUAAUACCGCAUAAGAGUAGAUGUUGCAUGACAUUUACUUAAAAGGUGCAAUUGCACACUACCAGAUGGACCUGCGUUGUAUUAGCUAGUUGGUGGGGUAACGGCUUACCAAGGCGACGAUACAUAGCCGACCUGAGCGGGUGGUCGGCCACACUGGGACUGAAACACGGCCCAGGCUCCUACGGGAGGCAGCAGUAGGGAAUCUUCGGCAAUGGACGGAAGUCUGACCGAGCAACGCCGCGUGAGUGAAGAAGGUUUUCGGAUCGUAAAGCUCUGUUGUAAGAGAAGAACGAGUGUGAGAGUGGAAAGUUCACACUGUGACGGUAUCUUACCAGAAAGGGACGGCUAACUACGUGCCAGCCGCCGCCGUAA